rnacentral:rRNA from 1 species
UAUUGCACAAUGGGGGGAACCCUGCUGCAGCGACGCCGCGUGGGCGAUGGAGUGCUUCGGUANGUAAAGCUCUAGCAGCAGGGAANNAANNNANGGUACCUGACUAAGAAGCCCCUGUUAAAUACGUGCCNNNANCCGCGGUAAUACGUAUGGGGCAAGCGUUAUCCGGAUUUACUGGGUGUAAAGGGAGCGUAGGCGGCCUGGCAAGCCUGAUGGGAAAUACCGGGGCCCAACCCCGGGGCUGCAUUGGGAACUGCCAGGCUGGAGUGCCGGAGAGGCAGGCGGAAUUCCUAGUGUAGCGGUGAAAUGCGUAGAUAUUAGGAGGAACACCAGUGGCGAAGGCGGCCUGCUGGACGGUGACUGACGCUGAGGCUCGAAAGCGUGGGGAGCAAACAGG